UACAGAGGUCUCAAGCGUUGUUCGGAUUCAUUGGGCGUAAAGGGUGCGUAGGUGGCGCCGUAAGUCGGGUGUGAAAUCUCGGGGCUUAACUCCGAAACUGCAUUCCAUACUGCGGUGCUUGAGGACUGGAGAGGAGACUGGAAUUCAUGGUGUAGCAGUGAAAUGCGUAGAGAUCAUGAGGAAGACCAGUGGCGAAGGCGGGUCUCUGGACAGUUCCUGACACUGAGGCACGAAGGCCAGGGGAGCAAACGGG
rnacentral:rRNA from 1 species